rnacentral:rRNA from 1 species
UCCCUGAACCUUAUCAUUUAGAGGAAGGUUGAAGUCGUAACAAGGUUUCCGUUAGGUGAACCUGCGGAAGGAUCAUUG